GUGGAAAUAAGUUGCUGGGAAAGCUGUGUGGCCGGGCCGUCCCGUGAGAGCCACUCACUGUUGCUUCAUCUCAACAGUUGUGUUAAUACACGAUGUAGCUUAAAGAUGUCAGCUGGUGAACUGUUUCUUGCUAAGUAAAGUCAUCCAGUCAUUCAUCCAGGCAAUAAUCCAAUCAAUCAUCCAAUCAAUCGUCCAAGCAACCAGUCAGUCACAGAAGGAAAACAAUAAUCAGAAGAAAGAGGGAAGCGGAUGCUGCGCCGCGAGCCGUAGCGAGGAUUUCCUUGGAUGUGUGCGCGCGUUCCCGCGGCGCCUCGGCCUUCCGUCCCUGAACCGUGUGAACGCGGCGAUCGGCGACUUUUCGGUAUUUGUGAUUAAUUUCAUAAUCCAGUCUGGUAGUUUUGUAAAGCGAGAUCCUGCAUCUUCCCACCUCGCCUCGGCGGGGUGCGAAGCGCCAGCGAGCCCAAGGUCUCCCUGGCGAGCAUGGCAGGAAUGGAGGGCUCCCGGCAGGGCGCCUCGGCGUCCCCGGGGCCCCCACGGAGGUGCCGGAGGUCUGCCGGCUACAAGCCCGGGCAGGUGCGGCUGGUUAGCCGUGGUAGGCAAUUCACCUACAAGAGCAAACUCCGAACAACAAACCGGGCAGGUGGGGCUCGUUAGCCGUGGUAGGCAAUUCACCUAGGAGAGCAAACUCCGAACAACAAACCCGGGCAGGUGGGGCUCGUUAGCCGUGGUAGGCAGUUCACCUAGGAGAGCAAACUCCGAACAACAAACCCGGGCAGGUGGGGCUCGUUAGCCGUGGUAGGCAAUUCACCUAGGAGAGCAAACUCCGAACAACAAACCCGGGCAGGUGGAGCUCGUUAGCCGUGGUAGGCAAUUCACCUAGGAGAGCAAACUCCGAACAACAAACCCGGGCAGGUGGAGCUCGUUAGCCGUGGUAGGCAGUUCACCUAGGAGAGCAAACUCCAAACAAUAAACCCGGGCAGGUGGAGCUCGUUAGCCGUGGUAGGCAGUUCACCUAGGAGAGCAAACUCCGAACAAUAAACCCGGGCAGGUGGAGCUCGUUAGCCGUGGUAGGCAGUCUGCCUAGGAGAGCAAACUCCGAACAACAAACCCGGGCAGGUGGAGCUCGUUAGCCGUGGUAGGCAGUUCACCUAGGAGAGCAAACUCCGAACAAUAAACCCGGGCAGGUGGAGCUCGUUAGCCGUGGUAGGCAGUUCACCUAGGAGAGCAAACUCCGAACAACAAACCCGGGCAGG